rnacentral:rRNA from 1 species
UGCCAGCCGCCGCGGUAAUACGGAGGGGGCUAGCGUUGUUCGGAAUUACUGGGCGUAAAGCGCACGUAGGCGGUCUGUCUAGUUAGAGGUGAAAGGCCCGGGCUCAACCUGGGAACUGCCUUUAAUACUGGCAGGCUAGAGUCCGGGAGAGGGUAGCGGAAUUCCAAGUGUAGAGGUGAAAUUCGUAGAUAUUUGGAAGAACACCGGUGGCGAAGGCGGCUACCUGGACCGGCACUGACGCUGAGGUGCGAAAGCGUGGGGAGCGAACAGGAUUAGAUA